CGCCCCUGGGGAGAGAGAGAGGCAGCGUCACGUGGAGCACCAGCCCCAUGCCCACAGCCCUCCUGACCACUGCCCGGUUCCUGCCCUGUGACCCAGGCCGUGACGGGGCAAGACUGGGCCACGCAGAAGUGUUGUAAGUCCUCUGUCUUCACCCACUCGAGCUGAGCCCUGGAGGCACCAAUGAGUUACUGGGACCUCUGCCUCGGUCUCCACUAGCUAAAAGGGGCCACUCUCAGAUCCUCCUCACUGAAGGACUUCGGGGGGCGGAGGGAGGAAGGCCCUGCCCAGGGGCUGGGCCUGGCAGACGCACUUUUUGCCCAGAGCAGAGAGUCCGUACAGCACCCCCGUAGCAAAGGCGAUGGCGUUGCCCAGCAGCGUGGUCAGGGUCAGGCUGAUGACGAUGGGAACGACCGCCAUCCUGGGGGGAAAGCAGAGGUCAAGGGGGCACUCCGGCCCCACAGCCACCACAUCCUUCCCCGCUUCCCAGACUCGGCCCAGCAUCCUUCCUAGACACCCAGGGCACAGGAAGGAUCCCCAAAAAUCAACUGAGACACAGCUUCAGAAAGUCCUUCAUCAGCCCUGAACUUGUCUGUAAAACUGUUCCAUUCUGGGAAUAGGAUCCAAAGCUUUCAUCAGAUUUUUGAAGGGGUCUGUGAUCCCAAAAAGAGCUAAACAGUAACGAGAUGGUCCAGUGCCCUCACUGUGAGAAAAACUGGCCAGAAAGAGCCUGUGACAGAGAAUCUGGCUUCCCAUCCAGGACCUACUAGCUUCGCGGGCAAGUUACUCGGAAUCUCCACCGCGGAGAGGGGAUCAAAGCUUGUCCGAGGUCAGUCAUGUUACCUACACAAUGCUGACCACCACAGGCACUAAAUAAAUGCUCUGAGUUAUAGAGUAACACCAGCCACAUCGCCACAAGUAAGGUCCCUGGAAUUCAACCACAUGGAACACAGGGUCUCAUCAUGGGAGGGCUGCAGGCUGCGGGGUCUGCGGGGUCGGCCCAGACCUUGCUGCAGUUUGGCGUCACCUGGUGGCAGGGUCCACUGGGGCUUAAGCGUCCCCGGGGCUGAUUCUCCAUCCUGGCUGGAAUUUCCAGGCCAGCAGCAAUUCCUGGGCUAACUGGGCCAGGAGGAUACCUGCAGCCUGGAGGCCAGCGCUCUGUCCUGUCGCCUCCCUAGAGGAGGCUGCCUGUGCAGGAGGACAAGACUCGUGGCCAAUUGCAUUCUACCUCAGUUUCCAUUCUUGUAGACAUGUGGUUGUGAGAUUUUUCUGUCGUUAAAAAAUUUCAAAAUGAUAAAAUAAUAAUAGAAAUUACAAAGAAAAAGACCACGGCGGGGAACCUUCUGACAAAAACAAAAUUAAAGGCAAACAAGAGCCUGGAAAAAUAGUUGCAGGAAAUACAACCAAGGAUCAUGAAAUCUUUAAUACAGAAAACACACUGAACUUGCUAAGCAGAACACUGAGGUUCCCACAGGUUAAAAAGUAAACUCGAAAAUUUUCAUAUCAGAAAAUGCAAUGGAAACACGUGGGAAAAUAUUUUUCCCUCUUAGAUAACAAAUAGAUAAAUGCGAAUGUGAAGUGGUGUGCAGCCCUGGGCUGGGGUGGGGGCGGGGGAGAGACUCAAGGGACCUCUUUGGAAAGCAACGUAGCCACGCAUCUUAAAAUAUUUUUAAUGAUCAGAAUCUUUGACCCAGUAAUUCCACACCUGAAAAUAGAUAUUAAGGAAAUCAUCAUAAACACAGAAAAAGUUUUAGCAGACACAUGUUUAUCACACCUCGAUUUACACCAGUUAAGAAAUUAAGAACAGCAUGAUACAUCCAGCUGAAUGAAUAUUCCUGUAUUGAAAGAAUGUUAUAAAGUCUGUGGUGAUGUUCAAAUGCUUAUAUCAUUACUCUAAGUGAAAAAAGGCAGGAUACAAACUUAUUCAUAAUGGUUAUAACUGUGUUAAAAGCAGGCUUUUAAAAAAUGCCUGCAGACAGGAAGCACACACAUCAGAAGAUUAGCAGGCAGCGGGCUUCGAGUAACAUUGUUCUAUAUUCCAAAUUAUUGUGAAUGAAUUUCUAUGAUGUCUAGCAUUUUUAAAAUACAGUUUUUUGAACCCCUAA